GUUUUAUAUGUUUAUGAGAUGUAUGUUACUGGAAUCCUUCUGCAAAUACGUGACCUUCAUAUCACCAGUGGAAAGACCUCAAUAGUUAUCAGAAGGUGUGGUAUGAGUGUCAAUGAGACAACUCUCCAUCCAAGUCACAAUGUUAAAAUAUCUUAAUUUCUACUUAAGAUUCACAGGCACCUGUCCAGAAUUGUUUUUCUUAUGUACCUUAAUAUUAAGGUAUAUAGGAUUUUUUUCUGAGACAGAGUGCCUGUGUUAAGAUUGGCUGUCAAAAGUCUAACAUUCAAAUUUUCAAUAACAGUUAACAGAAAAUACAAUCUCACAAUAACAGAUAACAAUAAAUAUAAUAGUCCUAUAACAGCUAACAAGGAACAAGAAAAUACAGCGAACAGCAAAUAUAUUUUGAGGAUAACAGAUAGCAAAGAAUUAAAUUACCCCAUAACAGCGUAACAGCUAAACCCCUUAUCCCCUCUAUGAUGAGAUAACUACUGGGUCGAUGUCACUGCUGGUGGAGUUUUUAUUCCCUGAGGGUACCACACGCUUAAAAGUCAGCACGUCUUUAUUGACAUUAAUCAUCGUUGCUAUGGUCAUAAUUAUAAAUUAAAUGAUUACACACUUUGAAUUUUUAAAGACUACGGCUUUUCUGCCUCAGGAAUAGAUUAGUUGGCAACACAUUUAGAAAUUGUUGGUCCUCAAUGCUCUUUAACUUUGUGCUUUAUUUGGCUUUUUUAAACAGAUAAUCGAGUAUUUAUCGUAAAGAUGUCGUUAAAUUUCAGCCGCUCGACACAAUGUGAAGGUUUUGACUUCGCUGCGCUCCAUCGCCCAAUAGGUUCACAUUGUAACUCGCUGCUGAUAUUUUAAGACAUAAAUGUGUAGAAAAC
rnacentral:lncRNA from 1 species